UACGUAGGGUGCUAGAGUUGUCCGGAUUUACUGGGUGUAAAGGGUGCUCAGGUGGCUUUGUAAGUCAGAGGUGAAAUCCCAAAGCUUAACUUUGGUGCUGCCUUUGAUACUGCAAGUCUAGAGUUUGAGAGAGGGCAAUGGAAUAUCUGGUGUAGCAGUGAAAUGCGUAGAUAUCAGAUAGAACACCAAUGGUGAAAACAGGUUGCUGGGAGUGUGCUGACGCUGAGACACGAAAGCCAGGGGAGCAAACGGG
rnacentral:rRNA from 1 species